AUUGAACGCUGGCGGCAGGCCUAACACAUGCAAGUCGAGCGGAGCGGCGGACGGGUGAGUAAUUCCUAGGAAGCUGCCUGGCAUUGGGGGAUAACGUCCGGACACGGGCGCUAAUACCGUAUCCUAUUAGAUGAGCCUAGGUCGGAUUAGCUAGUUGGUGGGGUAAAGUCCUACCAAGGCGACGAUCCGUAACUGGUCUGAGAGGGUGAUCAGUCACACUGGAACUGAGACACGGUCCAGACUCCUACGGGAGGCAGCAGUGGGGAAUAUUGGACAAUGGGCGAAAGCCUGAUCCAGCCAUGCCGCGUGUGUGAAGAAGGUCUUCGGAUUGUAAAACACUGUUAGUUGGGAGGCGUUACCAACAGAAAAAGCACCGGCUAACUUCGUGCCAGCAGCCGCGGUUAUAC
rnacentral:rRNA from 1 species